rnacentral:rRNA from 1 species
CCUACGGGGGGCAGCAGUGAGGAAUAUUGGUCAAUGGACGAGAGUCUGAACCAGCCAAGUAGCGUGAAGGAUGACUGCCCUAUGGGUUGUAAACUUCUUUUAUAUGGGAAUAAAGUGAGCCACGUGUGGCUUUUUGUAUGUACCAUACGAAUAAGGAUCGGCUAACUCCGUGCCAGCAGCCGCGGUAAUACGGAGGGUGCGAGCGUUAUCCGGAUUUAUUGGGUUUAAAGGGUGCGUAGGCGGGACGGUAAGUCAGCGGUAAAAAUGCGGAGCUCAACUCCGUCGAGCCGUUGAAACUGCCGUUC